rnacentral:misc_RNA from 1 species
UAGGAGUUGGAGGCAAUCAUGAAUGGACGCCGUUGGACCCGAAAAACGAUUGUGGAGUGUUCCGUCUUGCACGCUGAUGGUAACUCCGCCCCCUUAGCUGGUGUCGGCCGCGUAAGGCACCAGCCGGGCUUGAUUAUGUCAUCAAGCCUGCCGAUGACCCGGUACCUAUCGAAGCACUAAAAGUCAACUUUAGGUAUCGAGUCAUCAAACUACGCGGGGCGGUGGGUUACGUUGCUUUAGGUCUUGAUUUUGUAUUUGCUAGACGGUAUUUGUUUCUAAGGCUUCGUUGGUGACUCGGCUUCACCGCUGUGCCAUCGUCCUAGUAAGCCAUGUUGGUUGAGCUCUGCUCGUCUUAGACUGAACUUCUUUCGAGGCCAUGUUGGGUUAGCUUUGUUCCUCUUUGACUGAACUUCUAGUGCGAUGGCCGUUCUAGAUCCUCGAGGUGUUUAGUGACCCGUCCCGUCUAGCCAAUACAUAAGCAAGAGGUAAAGCAACGUUUCUCACCGUCUGGUUUCCUGAUCCCGUAUCGUUCGGUGCACUCUGGGGCUGUUUUGGCUUUUGGUUGCUUGCUUGGCCUAUGAGCCGAACGGGUCGCUUCAAGUUGGGAUGGCUUCGGGGAUGAUGUCCGUAAAGGUGCAUGAGUGGUGUUUGGUUUGUUACGUGUGGUUGGCUGCGGCGCUUGCAACAACUUCCAUGCUUUCAAGCCUCUUCAGUUAUGCGGCAAGGCUUGUAUCGCCUUGAGCGUGUUGCGGGUUUACUGUGUUGAAUACCUGAUCGACGGUACCGGUUGGAUAGAUCAAAAGUUCAUUUCGUCUUGCGUUGCAUUCGCGGCGUGAGGUGAACCAUGACGCGGUCUCUUUGAUCCACCUUGAUGAAGGAAUGUUUCAUCAUCGUGGCCCAUUGAGCAUUGCUUGGUCUCUCGUAUACGGAACAUGUAGUGGGCAUGGAUCUAAUGAUUCUUGUUUGCCCUAUUACUAGCGUUCUCGCUUCUUUAAAACGACUUGUGCUACGUGUUGGCUAGUCCAAUCGUGGUG